GCCAAACUGGUCGGCACAGUCGGUUACGAUCCGUGUUCCGUUCCGGUCGUGUUUCUAUUCCGUUCUUCGGAAGUGGCCCCUAGUUGCCCCUCUUUCCCCACUCUUUUUGAUUGGCGGACACUUUGGGGACUUUGGAGAAGAAAAAGGUUUUUUUUUGUUUGUGUAACUUUUUUCCUUUGAAGGAAACUCAACCAAAACGGUCAACGAACGGUUUCAUAACUUGUAAACUUACUUCAGUUCGCGUUCAAACGUCAAGCUGAACGAACCCAGACUCUGCCAGGGAAGAGAGAACAAUAGACAACGGCUCCACAAACCGGAACCCAAUCGUAACGUCAAUGUGUUGGUGCGAAUUAGAAGCAAACAAUCGAGCGGGCGCCAGAGUGCACCGACCAAAAUCGGGGAAAAAAAGCCGAACCAGAAUACGCGCGCGUGUUUACUCGUGUGAGAGUGUGUGUGUGGCGAUUUUUAUUUUCCUUUGUUUGAAAAAAGUGUCGCCGAAGCGCAACAGAGUCCCGCCAGAGCCGAAAUUUCAGUGUCACCCCGACAAAAUCACCCGAGCAGCAGCCAGCAUCAGAACACACAAAGAGAGAAAAAAUCGCAAGAGCGAAAGUUAGGAGUUUUUUUGCAGAAACACGCAAACGAAAAAAUCUGCCGUGACCAGCAAACGAUGAACAAAAAAAAGAUUUCAGAAGUGCAAGUCGCGCGCCCGAGGGUCGAAAGGAUUGGAGGAGGAUGCGUUUGGACUUGAGAGAUGAAAAAAAAUGAAGGAGUGGAUUUACUUCUAUCCAAAAAUGCUGAAAAAUUGCAGUUUUGAUGGAAAAUGACUGAAUUUGCACCAGCUCAAACGAGAGAACUGACUAGCGGUGUACAAGGUACUAAUUCACACGGUGUGUCCCACCCCCGCGUCCACCACACAUGGCGGCGACGUGACCGCGAGCUCUAACAAGUGACCAUAAAAGGGGAGGAGGGACUCCGAAAGGUGUGUGCGAUGGAACCGUGGCGGCGCCAAACAUGGUCAUCUGGUUGGGAUCUCUGAGUCAGAUCCUAAGAGCAGGUGAGAUAAGUUACAAGUCGUCGUCGUCGUCGUGCGAUUGCAGUUUGAUAUUGAGCGCGAAAAUGAGAACCGUGCGGUUUAAAGUGGGGCAGAUUGGUUUGGAGGGCGAUUAAGGUGGAGUGAUUGGAUUGGUUGAGCUUGUCAAUCAUGGGAACGCGGUGAGCU